rnacentral:rRNA from 1 species
AUUGAACGCUGGCGGCAGGCCUAACACACGCAAGUCGAGCGGAUGAGAGGAGCUUGCUCCUCGAUUCAGCGGCGGACGGGUGAGUAAUGCCUAGGAAUCUGCCCAGUAGUGGGGGACAACGUUUCGAAAGGAACGCUAAUACCGCAUACGUCCUACGGGAGAAAGUGGGGGAUCUUCGGACCUCACGCUAUUGGAUGAGCCUAGGUCGGAUUAGCUAGUUGGUAGGGUAAAGGCCUACCAAGGCGACGAUCCGUAACUGGUCUGAGAGGAUGAUCAGUCACACUGGAACGGAGAACCGGUCCAGACUCCUACGGGAGGCAGCAGUGGGGAAUAUUGGACGAUGGGCGCAAGCCUGAUCCCGCCAUGCCGCGUGUGUGAAGAAGGCCCUCGGGUCGUAAAGCACUUUAAGUUGGGAGGAAGGGCUUACAGCGAAUACCUGUGAGUUUUGACGUUACCGACAGAAUAAGCACCGGCUAACUUCGUGCCAGCCGCCGCCGUAA